rnacentral:rRNA from 1 species
UACGUAGGGAGCAAGCGUUGUCCGGAAUCAUUGGCGUAAAGCGCGCGUAGGCGGCCCUGUAAGUCCGUUGUGAAAGUCAAAGGCUCAACCUUUGAAAGCCGAUGGAUACUGCAGGGCUAGAGUCCGGAAGAGGCGAGUGGAAUUCCUGGUGUAGCGGUGGAAUGCGCAGAUAUCAGGAGGAACACCAAUAGCGAAGGCAGCUCGCUGGGACGGUACUGACGCUAAGGCGCGAAAGCGUGGGAGCGAACGAGG